CCUACGGGGUGCAGCAGUGGGGGAUAUUGCACAAUGGGGGAAACCCUGAUGCAGCGACGCCGCGUGAGUGAAGAAGUAUUUCGGUAUGUAAAGCUCUAUCAGCAGGGCAGAAAAUGACAGUACCUGACCAAGAAGCCCCGGCUAACUACGUGCCAGCAGCCGCGGUAAUACGUAGGGGGCAAGCGUUAUCCGGAUUUACUGGGUGUAAAGGGAGCGUAGACGGUUAUGUAAGUCUGGAGUGAAAGCCCGGGGCCCAACCCCGGGACUGCUUUGGAAACUGUGAAACUGGAGUACAGGAGGGGCAGGCGGAAUUCGUGGUGUAGCGGUGAAAUGCGUAGAUAUUAGGAGGAACACCAGUGGCGAAGGCGGUCUGCUGGACAGCAACUGACGCUGAGGCGCGAAAGCGUGGGGAGCAAACAGGAUUAGAUACCCUGGUAGUC
rnacentral:rRNA from 1 species